UUUACUUAAUCUAAUCCAUCAUUGAUGGGCAUCUAGGUUGAUUCCAUAUCUUUCUUGUUGUGAAUAGUGCUGUGCUGCAGUGAACAAUAUAUGAGUGCAUGUGUCUUUUUGGCAGAAUGAUUUAUUUUCUGUAGGAUAUAUACCCAAUAAUAUGAUUGCUGGGUUGAGUGAUAGUUUUAUUUAUAGUUCUUUGAGAAAUUUCCAAAGUGGCUGAACUAAUUUGCAUACCCACCAACAGUGUAUAAGCAUUCCCUUUACUUUGCAUCCUCACCAACAGCUUUUAUUUUUGACUUUUUAAUAAUAGCUAUUCAGACUGGUGCGAGAUGGUAUUCCACUGUGGUUUUGAUUUGGAUUUCCCUAAUGAUUAGUGAUGCUGAGCAUUUUUUCAUAUGUUUGUUGGCUAAAAAGCUGAUAUUUCAUUUCAUUUUUUUAAAGGUUUAUUUUAGGUUCGGGGGUACAUGUGAAGGUUUGUUACAUAGGUGAACUUGUGUCACAGGGUUUUGUUGUACAGCUGAUUUCAUCACCCAUGCAAAAAGCCCAGUACUCAAUAAUUAUUAUUUGUGCUUCUCUUCUUCCUCCCACCCUCCACCCUCAAGUAGACCCCAGUGUCUUUCAUUCCCCAAAAGCUAACAUUUUAAACCAGCCCAAAAUAUAAUAAUUUUAAUCUGAAGUGGCAUGUGAUUUCUGUUAAUGAUAAAAAAGAUAACAUUUGAAAAGGAGUCCUUUAGAUAACCCAUGUAUUAAGGACUAAAUGUUUGUACCUUCUCCCACCCCCAGAAUCAUAUGUGAAACCCUAACAACCAAUGUGAAUGUAUUUGGAGAUAGGGUCAUAAGCAGAUGGUAGAGUUUAAAUGAGGUCAUAAGGGUGGGGCCCUAAUCUGAUAGAGCUGUUGCACUUUUCAGAAGAGGAAGAGAUACGUCUCUGUCUGUGUGCAUUCAGAAAGAAGGCCAUGUGAUACAGUUUGGAUGUUGCCUCCAACCAAAUGUCAUGUCAAAAUGUAAUCUUCAAUAUUGGAGGUGAGGCAUGGUGGGGGGAGAUUGGGUCAUGGAGGCAGGUUUCUCAUGAAUGGUUUAGCACCAUCCCCCUUGGUACUGUCUUCACAAUAGUGAGUUCUCAUGAUAUUUGGUCAUUUAAAAGUGUGUAGCACUUCCCCCUUCAUGUUCUCUUGCUCCUGCUCUGGCCAUGUGACAUGCCUAUUCCCUCUUCACCUUCUGGCAUGACUGUAAGUUUCCUGUGGCCUCCCUGGAAGCUGAGCAGAUUCCAUCAUCAUGCUUCCUGUACAGUCUGCAGAACCAUGAGCCAAUUAAGCCUCUUUUCUUUAUAAAUUACCCAGUCUGAGGUACUUCUUUAUAGCACUGCAAGAAUGGACUAAUACACUAUGUGAAGACAAAGGGGAUGUCUGCAAGCCAGGACGAGUGCGUCUACCAGAAACUGAGUUCUGCUGGACUUUGAUCUAGGACAUCCAGCCUCCAGAAUGGAAUGUGCCAUAUGUGGAGACCUGCAUGAAAAGGAACUGAGGAUGCUCUCUCACUAAAAGCUAGAAGGACCUGAGGCCCUCAGUCAACAGUCUACAAGACACUGAAUCUUGCCAGCAGCCAUGCAGUGAGCUUGAAAGCAGAUCUAUCAUCAGCUGAACCUUCAGAUGAGACCGCAGCCUAAGCAGAUACCUUGGUUGCAGCCAUGUGAGACAACCUGAAACAGAGGGCACAGCUAAGCCUCAGCCAGGUUCAUGACCCUCUGAGGAAACUGUGAGAAAGCAAAUGUCAUUUUAAGCUUUUAAUUUUGGAGGUAGUUUGUUACACAACAAUAAAUAACUAUUAUAAUUAUCUUGAGGAUUUCCUGGGGAGAAUACAUGGAAUUGCAUAUAUAGGUCCUCAUAUGCAGAAUACUGGUACCCCAGAGAUGUUCACCCCAGAGAUGUUUUAGGAACCUGUGAAUAUGUUACAUUAAAUGGCAAAGUUUUCCUGGAUGGUUUAAGUUUAAGAUGGAAAAGUUUUACUGGAUUAUCCAGUGGGUCCAAUCUAGUAACAUGAGUCCUUAAAAAUGGAGAAUAUUUUUUGGCCAUGAUCAGAGAGACAUGUGAUGAUGGAAAAAGUGUCAGAGAUGCAAUGUGAGGGGACUAAAACUGCUGUUGAUGACUUUAAAGAUGGAGAGAGGGGAACCCGAGUCAAGGAAUGCAAAUGGCCUCUGGAAGCUGGAAAAAGCAAGAAAUGGAUUCUCCUUUAGAGCCUGUGGAAUAAAAUGCAGUCAUGCUGACACCUUGAUUUUACCUCAGUGAGACCAGUACGGGAGUAUGACCUUCGGAGCUGAAUAAAAUUAUAUGUACACAUCUUAAUUUCUUGGGAUUUGAUUACUUCUUCUGCUUUGAAAUUAGACCAAGUUUAGCCUGCCUUUGCUAUUUUGGCAUAUCUCCAAUUCUUCAUGAUUUUCUCAUUAGAUUCUUAGGGAUUCUGAAAAACACCUUACAGACCAUGUGAGAGGUAACGAGGAGGCUCUCCUGGACUGAACUGUGUCCCCUCCAAAUUCAUAUGUUGAGACCCAAACUUCCAAUGUGACUGUAUUUGGAGCUAGGGCCUUUAAGGAGUAAUUGACGUUAAAUGAGGUCACAGGGUUGGGACUCUAAUUUAAUAGGACUGGUGUCCUUAUGAGAAGAGAAAGAGGCACCAGGCACCAGGCAUGUGAGCCCACAGAGGAAAGGCUAUGAUGUGAAGACAGAGAGAAGGCCAUCACACACAAGCCAUGGAGAGAGGCCUCCCCAGAAACCAACCCCGCCGACACCUUGAUCUCGGACUUUCAAGCUUCAGAACUGUGAGAAAAUAAAUUUCUAUUGUUUAAGCCACUCAGUCAGUGGAAUUCUGUUAUAGCAGCCCUAACAGACUAAUAUGGAGGUCAAGUAGACAAGUCUGGUCUCUGUAUUUCUAUUGGAACUGGAUUUACUCUGCUCCUAUGAGUUAUCUCUAUGGGAGUUUGAUAUAAAUUGUUAAAAAAUUGAAGCGGAUAAACAUGAAAUUGUAGAGCAAUUUAACCGUGUGUUGUAAUGGAAACAUUUCUUCCUGAUGCUGGUCCCAUGUUGUGUUUAUAAGUGGAAAGUUUCUUCCUCUCCAAGUCCACAGGACUCCUUUCCUUUCUAAGUACUCUACGUGGCUGGCCACAUCAUUAAAAUAUGAGUUACUCUGAUGGUAGAGAGAAGAUAUCACUUAUCUUUGUGACUUCUCCUUCCCCUGUCUCUUCCACCCCUUUCUGCCAAUGGCAUACUUAGUCAUGUGUACUUAGUAAUGUUAAAUAUGUAAGUAAAUUUGACCUAUUGAAGAAUGGCCUCUAUAGCCUCCUAGACAACAUAUAAACCUAUAUUGUAAAUCUUCUAGUAACAGAAAGCAGAAUAGAAUACAAGUUUUUUACGAAUCUUUACAGAUUUCUUCUAAGAGUUUGGUUUUUCAUAAGUAGUUCUUACCAUUUUUGUCUCUACAAAAAUUUCUGUGCCCUCUUAUUGCCUAGAAUAUUUUCUAUUCAGAGAUUUUACAAGGAAUAUUCACCUGAUAUUGGCACAAGCACAAAGUUAGAAUUAGGGAGCUAUUACUGGAUGUGAUUCCUAUGCAUUUCCCACAAUUUUUAUAACAACUGUGUAUUUCAGUUUAUACAUAUCAAUUAAUCCUCACACUACCCCGUAAGGUUGGUAAUGGUAUUCUCAUUUUUCAUUUGAGGGAACUGGGACACAAGGAUGUAAAAGUAACCAAAACUAUACUGAUGAUAAGAAGGGUAUUUAAGGUUUGAAUUAUACAUUUUAUUCUACAUUGUGUUUCUUGCUUUUUAUGUGCUUAACUAUGUAAAAAAUAAAAGCCGUAGAGAAAUAUAUUUAUAGGAUGAAUAGUCAGAUAUGAAUCCGUAUGGUCAAUUAUAAUCAGGUCCAGAUGGUUAGUGCUCUGAGCUACUAGAGACCCCAUUUGAUGCCCCAGUUACCUACCAUCAUACAAUUAGGAUCAGUCGACACUUAAUAAAAAAGAUGGCAUAAUUUGGUGGAAAGAACAUGGGCUUUGAAAUCUGUCCUGAAAUAAGUUUUCAGUCCUGCCACUUACUACCUGUGAGAUGCUGAACAAUGAAGAAUUAACUCCUCUGAAUCUCUGUCUCUAUUUGUGUAAAAUGUGAAGAAUUAAUAAUGAGUUUCUUAUGAGAGGUACAGGAGACAGCAAAUGAGAAUGCAUCUAUGAUUGCCCUUGACACAGAGUAGGCACACAGUGGGCAUUCAGUAAGUGCUAGUUGAAUGUGAAUCUUAGUGUUAUAUAUUAAUAUAAAUUAGUGUAAAAUGAAAUCUCUCCUUGUUGUGGUCUGAAUGUGCCCCCUAAAAUUCCUGUAUUGGAAACUUAAUCCCCAAUGAAACAGUGUUGGGAAGUGUUUGGGGAGGUGUUUAGGUCGAGCCCUCAAGAGUGGAUUAACGCUGCUAUAAAAAGGGCUUGUGGGAGUGGGCACACCCUCUCUUGCCCUUCAGCUUUCCAAUAUAUGAGGAAACAGCAACAAGGCCCUGCCCUGAUGCUGGCACCUUCAUCCUGGGCUUCCCAAACUCUAGAACUAUAGGGAAAUAAAAAUCUGCUCUUUAUCAGUUACCCAGAUUUGAGUACUCUGUCAUAGCAGCCCAAAAUGUACUAACAGACUCACUCAUAGGGGUUUACAAGCUAACUGUUGAGAUACUAAGGAAUGAGGACAUAAAGGCAGCCAAGGACAAGUGCCAAAUGAGAGAAACCAUGACAAGUCACUGGGGGAGGAGAUUCUUGAGGGCUAGGACAGUUAGGACAACUGACUUCUUUUAGGAGGUCAGGCUCAAGCUGGGCCCUGAAGACAGACAAGCUCUUAUUUGUAUAGAUGGGGGAAGAGGGAGCAUGUGCGUUGCAGAAAGGGAGAAAUGCCUUGGAAGAGAAAUGUGUAUGGAAAAAAGCAUAGAUAAUUAUGGGUGGUGCAGAUCCUGUAAGGUGGCUUAUCCGUUGUACAAUUUACAAAAUCUUUUGCCUCAUUGGAGCCUCUCCUCAGAUCUAAGAGGAGCAGAGAACAAAUUUUACUGUCUCCUUUUAAAGAAUAAAGACGGAACUGAAACUCUGAGAGGUAAAGUGACUUGGCUAAGGUAGCGCCUCUAAUCUGUAACAGAGUGGGGCAUCAAACUCCAAUCUGCUGCUCCUGAGGACUCAGGGAGGUGGCAGGAGGAGGGAGGGAACAAGACUAAAGAAGUUAGAGAGAAAUUGGUGACUUUGAAUGGCAAUCUUAGGGGUUUUUUUUUCUCUUUGUAAGUGUAGAAAACCCCAAAAGCUUAUGACCAAAGUAAACGUACAAGGUAAUAUUUUUGAAGGUUAGUUUGGCCACAGGAUCUGGGGUGGAUGUCUGUUCCUGAGACAAGGCAGUGUUCUUCUAGAAUCUAUUUAUUCCAAGACCAUUGUCAAAAUGAGUUUUAGGCCAAAGAGGGCUCUGUCCUUCAUACCGUCUUAGAGAAAGCCUUCUUAAUCAGGGAAAUGGAGCUAUUAGCACACUGGCAGCCUUUUCUGUUCUGCAUUUUAAAUUGUUAAUUCAAUUUAUUUCUGGAUAAAAUAUCUGUAAAUCAAGCCAGUUUGCAAAACUGACAGCUCCAUGAAAAAAAUGUUAGGGGAAAGAAGAUCAGAUGCAUGACUAAGCUAUAUUUUAAUUUAAGCAAGUGUUCUGAUUAAAUCAUAAAGGGAAUAAAAAUGGCAUAAUGGGAACAUGGUAACUUACUAAAUUGGGGUCAGGUUUAUCUCUCCAUAUAGCACCAAUGCAGUGAAGCAGUGGGCUUGGUGGAAAGAUUCAGCUUUUGGAGUAGGUCAGAUCUGGGCUCAAAUCUUGAACAAAAGCUUGGCGAUUUUUCCUUCACUGUUAUAACUAGAGCAUCUAGGACAGUAUCAGAGUAGGUACUGUACAAAUCCUUGUUGAAAUUAAAUGAAAUGAGCACUUAGCCCUACCACUUUCCAACUGGAAAACAUAGGAAAAAUGAGUUCACCUUAGUAUACCUCAGUUUUCUCACAUGUAAAAUAGAGAUAAUGAUAUUACUUUUUAUAAUAGUUGUAAGGAUUAGCAAUAGUAAAAUAUGGGCUUGUGGGAUGGAUUGGUUUAGAUACCAGCUCCAUGAGACCUGAGGUCAUAACCUAGAGUUACCUCUUGAUAUAUUAAACAGCAUGCUUUGCUGAGCUGAGACCAUGCCCUGAAAUGCCCUAGCUAAGCCAGACAUUAUUUAAGUUUAUAUCCUCUGCAAGGAUUAGCAGGGUUAUUAUACUAAUAGAUGUUGAAUUGUCAAAAUUAAAAUUUUUAGGGUAGCAUAACUUUGAUUCAAAUUAUUUUAUUUGUUCAUUUAGAGAUACCUACAUGAUGGGCACACUUUAAAAAUUAUUAUUAUUCUAUGAUCUUUGAUCUUUCCCACUGAGAGAUACUAUAUUCUUUUGUCUUUUAAAUUCCUACAACAAAGCCUCUUUUAAAGUGUUCCCAUUUUGAAGGUGAGGAAACAGACUUGGAGAAAUCUAGUGACAAGUUCGCAGACACACAUAACAAAAAGCGGUGCUGACAUUUGAACAGGACUUUUGGUUUCAAAGCCAUUGUACCUUAUAGGUGUGUUCCAUAUACAUUUGUUAAUUGAAUUAAUGGGCAAAGGCCAAUCAUACUGGGCUUUAACUUCCCUUUAGUCACAAGAUGUUCUUUUAGCUCCCAGAGUGAAGAUAUUAAAAACAAGAAUCUGGCUUUGGUUCAGUUGCUAAAAGCAUGUGUAGUCUAGAACUGUUAGAUUUUUGUCAGACUAUUCAGAAAUAUAUAUCAGUCUUACAAGAGCAAGGACAUUUGUUCAAUGUAUUAUGUACCCUCCCUUACACCAAAAGAAAAAGUAAAAUAAAAUAAAAAGGCCAAGGUAAAGCGGCUAUGAAUUUAAUGUUCAUAAAGGCAGCAGCGCAGUUAUUGUGUACUAAUUAUGUAACAGGCCUUGUGCUAUGUGUUUUACAUACAUUAUUUCACAAUGGCCCUCUGAGGAAAUAGUGUUGUCCACAAGCUUUAAAAUAAGAAACUGCUCAGAACUCUCCCUUGGCUUCCUGUCUCACUCAGGGUAGUGCUCCAUUUCUCACAAUGGCUCAGAAGGCCCUCCACAACCAGUUCAAUGAUCAUAAAUUGAGUGUAGGAAACACAAUAUGGGAAGUGAGAUUAACAUGUGUUACCUCUGCCCUACUACAGAUAUGGAAAUGCUCAAGGCAAUGUUACAGGAAUAUUACCCAAUGUCAGGAAACCUAAGUUUGGGCUUUGGGGUCAAACCUUUCAUUUUCAUGGCAGUGUUUGAGAAAACCUAAAUGAAAAGGGGCUGAAUGUUGCCUUUACGUCACACAGAGUACAGAGUAGACAGAGGGCUGCAGUGUGACCAAAAAAGACAAAGGACUUUCUCAGGGAGUGAGUAAAAAGGGGCAGUCACUGUGUGGGGCAUAUGUGAGGAAGCAAAUAUCCUUGAGGAUACUUUUGAUUAAAAACAAAAGA